AACGAACGCUGGCGGCAUGCCUAACACAUGCAAGUCGAACGAGACCUUCGGGUCUAGUGGCGCACGGGUGCGUAACGCGUGGGAACCUGCACUUAGGUUCGGAAUAACUCCCCGAAAGGGGUGCUAAUACCGGACAAUGUCUUCGGACCAAAGAUUUAUCGCCUUUGGAUGGGCCCUCGUUGGAUUAGCUAGUUGGUAGGGUAAAAGCCUCCCAAGGCGACGAUCCAUAGCUGGUCUGUGAGGAUGAUCAGCCACACUGGGACUGAGACACGGCCCAGACUCCUACGGGAGGCAGCAGUGGGGAAUAUUGGACAGUGGGCGAAAGCCUGAUCCAGCAAUGCCGCGUGAGUGAUGAAGGCCUUAGGGUUGUAAAGCUCUUUUACCCGGGAUGAUAAUGACAGUACCGGGAGAAUAAGCUCCGGCUAACUCCGUG
rnacentral:rRNA from 1 species